rnacentral:lncRNA from 1 species
UUCUGUGAGCUCAAUUGGGGACUCAGCUUUUGGGGAGACCCCUGGGGGCCAUGGAAGAAGCAUAUCCUAUGGGGUAAGAUGAUAAUUUUUGAAAUCUGAAUUCUGAUUUCUCUGUUUUUCAGUUAUGCAUCCGUAAAAUGGUAGUGUGGCCUCUAGAUAUUAAAUGGCAGUGUACUGGAGAGAUACCAUUUGUGAUGUGUACCCAGCCUGUGAUGAUGCACUUUGUCCAAGAAGGUUAUAGGGAUUAUUGUUGAUUAGUUCUCGUGUGGCCCUCUCCCCAGCUUAGCCACCAGUCAUCCGGGAUUUUGGUAGGGAUCAGACAGGGCUACGUAUCCUCUGUGUGGGAUAAGAACUAUAUACUAUUAGUAUUUGAAAGGAACAUAAACCAAUUUUGGCUGAUUUAGGCCAAAAGGUCUUUAUGGGAAGACUGCGGGGUGUUUGCAGCAUUGGUAAAAUGGUUUCUGGGAUCUCAGGAGAACUGGGCAGCAGGAGCUUCAGGGCCUAUGAUGGACUGACUGAGGUAUGACCAGUUUCCGCCCCUAGGAUUCCUCAUUCAAAUCAGAUUUCUGGAAAAUAGAAUUGGAUUGGCCUAACCCCAGCCAUGUGUCAUCUACCUAUAGAAUACUCCCACUGAAACCACAUGUGGGAGGAAGUUUCCCAUGGAAAAAAGGGAAAGGGAUUUAGGGAAGACAGGAACAACUGAGGCCCAUAAACUUAGAUAUGGCCAUAAGCACAGACAGGAAAAUGGAGCAGAGAUGAAGGCCAGUGAUCAAAGAGAAGGGAGGAUUGGAGUAGAACAUACAUGCUCAUACAUGAACACUCACAUACACACACACUCACAUGAAUAAUACAUGCAUGCUCACAUAUGCUUAUACACGUGAACAUGUUCUUGUGUUCAUGCUCACAUGUGCACACAUGUAUAUUAAAACAUGCACUUCUGCAACCCCCCCC